GACAGAGGUGCCAAGCGUUAGGCGGAAUCACUGGGCUUAAAGCGUGUGUAGGCGGAUCGUUAAGUACCUUGUGAAAUCCCACGGCUCAACCGUGGAACUGCUCGGUAUACUGGCGGUCUUGAGCCACCUAGGGGCAACUGGAACAAGCGGUGGAGCGGUGAAAUGCGUAGAUAUCGCUUGGAACGCCAAAGGUGAAGACAGACCGCUGGGCUUGUUCUGACGCUGAGGCACGAAAGCGUGGGGAGCAAACGGG
rnacentral:rRNA from 1 species